UGCCCAUUUGUCUUAAAUGGGCAUUUAAGCCCUAUGUAGUAUAGAAAAGGUGAUUAAUUGCAUUAUCAAGGGAGGUCAGAACAAUAUAUUGUUGUCAGGAAAGCACAUUCUUCUUUGUGGCAUUGAAGGCUUUCACUGGGUUGCUGUUAGUUUUCUGUGCUGUAUGGCCAUAUUCCAGAAGCAUUCUCUCCUGACAUUUCACUUACAUUUGUGGCAGGAAUCCUCAGAGGAUGUGAGAUCUGUUGGAAAUUAGGCAAGUGGGGUAUAUAUAUCUGUGGAAUAAUAUCCAGAAUGGGGGAAAGAACUCUUUGUCUGUUUGAGGCAGGUGUGAAUGUUGCCAUUGACCACCUUGAUUAGCAUUGAAUAGCCUUGCAUCUUCAAAGCCUAGCUGCUUCCUGCCUGAGAAAAUCCUUUUUGGGAGAUGUUAACUGGCCCUCAUUGUUUCUUGUCUGGAAUUCCCCUGUUUUCCAAGUGUUGUUCUUUAUUUACUCUUCUGAUUUUAGCGUUUUUAAAUACGUUUAUCCAGAUUUUGUCCAUUUUCAUGGUUUCCUCCUUUCUGUGGACUUCAAUGGCUUCUCUGUGUUUUCUGACAUGGUGGUUGUUAGGGUGGUCCAGCAUUUCUGUGUUCUCAAAUAGUAUGUUGUGUCCAGGUUGGUUCAUCAGGUGCUCUGUUAUGGCUGACUUCUCUGGUUGACUUAGUCUGCAGUGCCUUUCAUGUUCCUUGAUUCGCGUUUGGGUGCUGCGUUUGGUGGUCCCUACGUAGACUUGUCCACAGCUACAUGGUAUACGGUAGCCUCUUUCAGAGGUGAGAGUAUCCCUCUUGUCCUUUGCUGAAUGUAGCAAUUGUUAGAUUUUUUUUAGUGGGUCUGUAGAUAGUUUGUAGGUUGUUUCCUUAUCAGCUUCCCUAUGCGGUCAGUGGUUCCCUUGAUGUAUGGUAAGAACACUUUUUUUCUGGGUGGAUCUUUGUCUUGACUCUUGUGGCUUGUUCUUGGUCUUGCAGCUCUUCUGAUGUCUGAGGUGGAGUAUCCAUUGGUCUGUAGAGCCCAGUUGAGGUGGUUCAAUUCAUCUUGGAGGAGGUGGGCGUCGCACAUUCUUAAAAUCACACAUAAAUAUGUAAAGUUACAAAUAUCUGAAAUCAUACCUUUCAACUAAAUACAACACAUGUGCAGCAGGAAAGGACAAAUAAAACAUAGACAGCUUGUGCAAAUAUAUAAGUUUUCAACUGAUGCCUGAAAGAGAAGAGUGUGUAGACAACUGGAAGGAAGUUUUGCAAGUGGGUUCCUCUGUUUGAUCUUGUUGCCCUACAGGCCAUGCUAUGCUAGGAUGCCAGAAAAAGCAUAUCCAAGUCUCGUUCAAAACCACAGUUUACAGGCUCCUGCGUGAAUUCUUGUCAGAAGAAAAUCAAAUCCAUUUUUAGCUGAAUCUCCCUCCAGGAUCUUGCUAGUUGUUUGAAAGAAGAGGACCAGAGACCCAGAACUCACAUUUCAGCCUUCAUUCGGUUGAGAAAGCCAUCGCUAUUUCAAUCAUGACAUUUUUCAGAAUUAAAGAGUUGGAAGAGACCUCAUGGACCAUCCAGUCCAACCCCCUGCCAAGAAGCAGGAAUAUUGCAUUCAAAUCACCCCUGACAGAUGGCCAUCCAGCCUCUGUUUAAAGGCUUCCAAAGAAGGAGCCUCCACCACACUCCGGGGCAGAGAGUUCCACUGCUGAACGGCUCUCACAGUCAGGAAGUUCUUCCUCGUGUUCAGAUGGAAUUUCCUCUCUUAUAGCUUGAAGCCAUUGUUCUGCGUCCUAGUCUCCAAGGAAGCAGAAAACAAACUUGCUCCCUCUUCCCUGUGGCUUCCUCUCACAUAUUUAUACAUUGGCUAUCAUAUCUCCUCUCAGCCUUCUCUUCUUCAGGCUAAACAUGCCCAGCUCCUUAAGCCGCUCCUCAUAGGGCUUGUUCUCCAGACCCUUGAUCAUUUUAGUCGCCCUCCUCUGGACAUUCCAGCUUGUCAAUAUCUCUCUUGAAUUGUGGUGCCCAGAAUUGGACACAAUAUUCCAGGUGUGGUCUAACCAAAGCGGAAUAGAGGGGUAGCAUUACUUCCCUAGAUCUAGACAUUAUGCUCCUAUUGAUGCAGGCCAAAAUCCCAUUGGCUUUUUUUGCCGCCACAUCACAUUGUUGGCUCAUGUUUAACUUGUUGUCCACGAGGACUCCAAGAUCUUUUUCACACAUACUGCUCUCAAGCCAGGCAUUGUCCCCCAUUCUGUAUCUUUGCAUUUCGUUUCAAAGCUUGAGCUUCCUAAAUUGAGCUUCUUCAUGUGCUUUCAACAGAAUUGUGUUUCCCUUAGCAACAACAAAUAUACAGGUGUUUUUCUAGGGCACUAUGGCCCCUUAUCCACAGAUUCAAUAUGUAGAGUUUCACUUACGCACGCUCCCAAAAAUAUUUCCCACUGAAUAUUUUUGUGGGGCUUUCUAAGUCCUCCAGUGCAAUUCCGUGGUAUGCUUUGAGCCCAUGUAUAGGUAAAACUAUUUUGUGUGGUUUCAGCUAUUCAUAGGAAGUCUUGGAACACAUCCCUCAAGGAUACUAUAAUUGUAUCAUCUCACUAGAGCAUUUCUGUACAAUCCUCAGAGCCCAUUCUUUCUCAUUGCUGAACUGCCCAAUGAAAAAUCAAUGUGUGCAAGUUGGCAUGUGCAGGUGUGUAUGUGUGAGAGACCUUCCAUAUAGACAGUAAGGAACAUCUUUCUAAAUUGUGAGAACAGCAACAACCUUUCACUGCAAAUUAUUCUUUUAUUUUUGUAUUAUCUUUUUUUGAGAAAACAGGAAAAGAUGUUUCUUCCUGCUGAAUAUUCUUGAAAAAUUAAUGUAAUCUUAUGCCCCAAGAAAGUAUUACUUCUUCUUUAUCCUUUUAAAUUGCAAGUCAGGCAGGAAUCUAGGAUGCAAUCUGAAUAAAGCUUACAAUAGUAUUUGGAUACUUCUUUGUCAUUUCAAUCUAAAAAUGCAUGAAACACAAGAAAAAGAAGGGCAAGUGAGGUGGAAGAGUCUAUGUUUCUCCUGCUGAGGACAGGGCAGUGGCAUUUGGGAUGAAGGGAGGACUUUCAUCUGCAUCAGGCCUCGGCUGGAUGGAGUUGCAUCUGCCAGGUCUUCUCUCCCUCUAAAGGCCACAGCUAUUGAUAUCUCAAUACUCACAUUUUGGACAUAGUAUAUCAUCCAAUAUGAUCAUUUAUUCAAGUGCACUGUUCCAAAUUUUAUCAUCAGAGGCAGAAGCUUGUUUCCACGGGUUCCUCUAAUGAUUAAUGUAGGAAUACAAGGAAACCAAAUAUCUGCAAAGUUGCCUUCAUCUGUGUAUCAGUCUAACAUUAUGAGUUAGUUUAUUCAGUUCAGUAAGAUCCCAGACCUUAAGUCCAGUAUUUUCUAGCAUUUAGAUUGCAAGAGGUUUCUAACUGGAAUUAUUAUUGAUAUAUCCCUCAUAUCCUUUACCAUUUAUAACCAGAAAAUAUCCUGAAGAUGAAAAUAAUGAUCCCAAAGGAUCCUUUGACUGCCCUCUGGGCAUGUUUUAAUGGCUCUUUAUGGCAUUUUAAAUCUAGGACAAGGCUUUUGCUUAAAAAAAUAAGAAAGUGAUUGGAAGUCAUUUUGCGAUUUCCUUUCUCUUUUAAGAAAAGUUCUCUCCUGUGCCUAAAAUUGCUCAGGGGGCUAAAAGGUGGCAGAACCCUCUCCCCCACACACCUCCUAAAUGGCAUUUUUGGACAUUUUCUCUCUUCUUCUCUCCCCCCUCCAUCUAUAUUUGUUCCCACUCGUGGCCCGUGGCCCUCAAAAAAAUAGCCCUAGGCUGCCACAUACAACCAACAAGCUACAUUUUGUCCAUUCCUGCAUUGACAGCAUCUGAAGCUCAACUAGAAAAAAUAAUUGGGCAUCAAGAGCAGUGUUGUGCCAGAGAAAUUUUAGGGUUGCCAGUCAUCCAACCUUCUCACCCUAACUAGGGGGGGUUACUAAGUACAGAAAGAUGACAUGAGAUACUUCAGAAGGACUUUCAGUGGUUACUCAGGUCUUAAAUUGGUUUCUGUAUGCUUAAGCUUCUUGGGAGGAGAGCAAUGUCCAAUCUCGAUAAAAUAGUAAAGAGUAGAGACAUCACACUGGCAACAAAGAUCUGCAUAGUCAAAGCCAUGGUAUUCCCUGUAGUAACCUAUGUGAUGUGAGAGCUGGAUCUUAGGGAAGGCUGAGCGAAGGAAGAUAGAUGCUUUUGAACUGUGGUGUUGGAGGAAAGUUCUGAGAGUGCCUUGGACUGCGAGAAGAUCCAACCA